AUCCUUGAGAUUAUGAAUCCUUUAUAAAGAACGUAUUUUCAUUACAUCGGAACAGUUUCAAGACAAGACUAGUGUCAAUCAUUUUCUUAGCGUCUUUGUUGAUCGUAUCAAAGAGAAGAUGCAGGGUAUCAACGUUUUUGUUGUUUUGAUGAUCGUAGCUCUUUGGGCUAAUCUUUGCGGCACCUGCUGAAGAGCUAUCCGGUGUCGAGCAGCUCCCAGCUAUGCUGGUGCGGUCGGGGCCGGCGCAGCUGGCGCUGGGCUCGCCGCAGCCGCGCCAGUGCACGAACAACGCCUGCGCCAACCUGUGCCGCGCGCUAGGCUGGACCAACGGUUUCUGUCUCGAUGCCGAGUGGUGCCUCUGCUACAACUAAACUAAAACCCUGUCGCACGAGCGCUCAUUCAUAUUAACUAACACCAUAAGCCAUGUCAACCGUACAAGUGCGUCAAAUCGCGGAAGCAGUAAAAUCGAAUAAACGUUCUAAUAUAUCUAACUAUGCAAAGGAAUUGUAAUGGAAAAAUGCAUUAAGAUAUUUAUAAAUUGUGAGUCUAAAAUUAUAACGUUUGGUAAGCGGAAUGUUUUUUACUAUUUUUACUAACGAUACAUAUAGCUGCGAAUAUAAUACAUAUAUAUAAUAAGUAGGUACCUAUAACUCGAUCACGUAUGCUUUAACUGGGAUUUUAAUUUCAAGUUUAUUUUGUCAAAUCAAUAAUCCAUUCGCACAAUACGAUCCGAAAUUACGCCUGCCAUUUUAAGUAAUCCUCUACAUGCACAAAAGCAGGCACAAAACUAAAUUUCAAGUCGAUUUUCUGUAUCAGUUACAACGUCAAAAGAAAUUAAUCCAAUAACUUUGUACACCUCGGGACAAUCAAACUUGCAAACAUAAGGAACUUGACAAAAUAGCUUAUUAUACCUUAAAGCAACCAUACCAAAUUGGACUUUAUCACAAAACUCUGUUGGAUUAAUAUUGCGAAAUAUACGUUGGCAAAUCUAACAUACUAUUUGAAGGUACACGGCAAUAAAAACCAAUAGAAAUAAAGUCAAUUGCAAUGCUC